GAUAGAGACGCAAAAAUUUUUGUGUUUAAAGAAUGUGAGUGAUAAAUAUCUUUCGCUUCAAUUUAAAACUUGGAGCGAUAAAAAUAAAAAUGAUGCCAUCCAUAAUACAAUUAUUACAGGUAUUGUCUUCCAAGGGAGUUUUGCUUCACAUCAAAAUUCGUGCUACCUUAUUUUCAAUUUGACGUUAGAACCCCCAAAACCCCUACCU